UACGUAGGGGGCAAGCGUUGUCCGGAAUCAUUGGGCGUACAGCGCGCGUAGGCGGCCAGACAAGUCCGGUGUGAAAGUCACAGGCUCAACCUGUGAAUGCCGCUGGAAACUGUCUGGCUAGAGUCCGGAAGGGGCGAGUGGAAUUCCUGGUGUAGCGGUGAAAUGCGCAGAUAUCAGGAAGAACACCCGUGGCGAAGGCGGUUCUCUGGGACGGUACUGACGCUGAGACGCGAAAGCGUGGGGAGCGAACAGG
rnacentral:rRNA from 1 species